CUACGAGUUGCAGCAGUGAGGAAUAUUGCACAAUGGGGGGAACCCUGAUGCAGCAACGCCGCGUGGAGGAUGACGCAUUUCGGUGUGUAAACUCCUUUUAUAUGUCAAGAAAAUGACGGUAGCAUAUGAAUAAGCACCGGCUAACUCCGUGCCAGCAGCCGCGGUAAUACGGAGGGUACAAGCGUUACUCGGAAUCACUGGGCGUAAAGGACGCGUAGGCGGGUUGGAAAGUCAGGUGUGAAAUCCUACAGCUUAACUGUAGAACUGCACUUGAAACUUCUAAUCUAGAGUAUGGGAGGGGGAGAUGGAAUUAGUGGUGUAGGGGUAAAAUCCGUAGAUAUCACUAGGAAUACCUAAAGCGAAGGCGAUCUCCUGGAACAUUACUGACGCUAAGGCGUGAAAGCGUGGGGAGCAAACAGGAUUAGAUACCCCAGUAGUC
rnacentral:rRNA from 1 species